rnacentral:rRNA from 1 species
AGUGAACGCUGGCGGUAGGCCUAACACAUGCAAGUCGAACGGCAGCACAGUAAGAGCUUGCUCUUACGGGUGGCGAGUGGCGGACGGGUGAGGAAUACAUCGGAAUCUACUUUUUCGUGGGGGAUAACGUAGGGACACUUACGCUAAUACCGCAUACGACCUACGGGUGAAAGCAGGGGAUCUUCGGACCUUGCGCGAUUGAAUGAGCCGAUGUCGGAUUAGCUAGUUGGCGGGGUAAAGGCCUACCAAGGCGACGAUCCGUAGCUGGUCUGAGAGGAUGAUCAGCCACACUGGAACUGAGACACGGUCCAGACUCCUACGGGAGGCAGCAGUGGGGAAUAUUGGACAAUGGGCGAAAGCCUGAUCCAGCCAUACCGCGUGGGUGAAGAAGGCCUUCGGGUUGUAAAGCCCUUUUGUUGGGAAAGAAAAGCAGCAGGUUAAUACCCCGCUGUUCUGACGGUACCCAAAGAAUAAGCACCGGCUAACUUCGUG